GUGCUGCUGAGGAGCACAAGGACGAGGGAGAAAGAGAAGUGGAAGAAGAUGA
rnacentral:SRP_RNA from 1 species